GACGAACGCUGGCGGCGUGCUUAACACAUGCAAGUCGAACGGACAGGCCCUGCUUUUGUGCGGUGCUCGAUUGCCGAACGCGUGAGUAACACGUGUGUAACCUGCCCUUGACUUUGGGAUAACUUCUGGAGACUGGGGCUCAUACCCGGUAGAAGCUACUGAUGCAUGGUGUGGGUUGGAAAGAUUCGGCGGUUGGGGAUGGACUCGCGGGUUAUCAGCUUCUUGGUGGGGUAGUGGCUUACCAAGGGUUUGACGGGUAGCCGGCAUGAGAGGGGGGCCGGGCACAAUGGGCCUGAGAGACGGCCCAGACGCCAACGGGAGGCAGCAGUCGGGAAUAUUGCACAAUGGGCGGAAGCCUGAGGCAACAACGCCGCGAGCGGGAAGACGGCCUUCGGGUUGUAAACCGAUUUCGCCUGUGACGAAGCGUGAGUGACGGUAAUGGGUAAAGAAGCACCGGCUAACUACGUG
rnacentral:rRNA from 1 species